ACGGGAGGCAGCAGUGGGGAAUAUUGGACAAUGGGGGAAACCCUGAUCCAGCGACGCCGCGUGAGUGAAGAAGUAUUUCGGUAUGUAAAGCUCUAUCAGCAGGGAAGAUAAUGACGGUACCUGACUAAGAAGCCCCGGCUAACUACGUGCCAGCAGCCGCGGUAAUACAUAGGGGGCAAGCGUUAUCCGGAUUUAUUGGGUGUAAAGGGUGCGUAGACGGAGAAGCAAGUUGGUUGUGAAAUCCCUCGGCUCAACUGAGGAACUGCAACCAAAACUACUUCCCUUGAGUGUCGGAGGGGAAAGUGGAAUUCCUAGUGUAGCGGUGAAAUGCGUAGAUAUUAGGAGGAACACCGGUGGCGAAGGCGACUUUCUGGACGAUAACUGACGUUGAGGCACGAAAGUGUGGGGAGCAAACAGGAUUAGAUACCCUGGUA
rnacentral:rRNA from 1 species